rnacentral:rRNA from 1 species
UGGGGGAUAUUGCACAAUGGGGGGAACCCGUGAUGCAGCGACGCCGCGUGGGCGAGGGAGCGCCUCGGCGCGUAAAGCCCUUUCGGCGGGGGAGAACGAUGACGGUACCCGACGAAGAAGCACCGGCUAAAUACGUGCC